rnacentral:misc_RNA from 1 species
CUAAAAAAAAAAUCAUGUAACAUGAAAAUGUAAAGGUAAAGGUAAAGGUAUGUUAAUCCAAAUUCCAAGCUAACAAAAACAAAGACAAGGCAUCACCAGUAUAUCCCUUGAGCUUGAAAUUAAGACAUGAAACCACAGAAUUUCCAAGGCUAGAACUAUCACAGUGGAACAAUCGGCUGGCUUAUCUGUACUCAGCCUCCGUCUCCGCGAAAAUAAUGCUAUCCAAGUUUAUAUGGAGAAAAUGUGCUGCAUUCGUCUUUUUGAACAUAUACAAGGCGAAGGGGAAAAGUGAGAAACCCCUAGAAAGAAUAGAAAUGGGUGGCAUGGGAACGACCU